rnacentral:rRNA from 1 species
GACGAACGCUGGCGGCGUGCUUAACACAUGCAAGUCGAACGGAAAGGCCCUGCUUUUGUGGGGUGCUCGAGUGGCGAACGGGUGAGUAACACGUGAGUAACCUGCCCUUGACUUUGGGAUAACUUCAGGAAACUGGGGCUAAUACCGGAUAGGAGCUCCUGCUGCAUGGUGGGGGUUGGAAAGUUUCGGCGGUUGGGGAUGGACUCGCGGCUUAUCAGCUUGUUGGUGGGGUAGUGGCUUACCAAGGCUUUGACGGGUAGCCGGCCUGAGAGGGUGACCGGCCACAUUGGGACUGAGAUACGGCCCAGACUCCUACGGGAGGCAGCAGUGGGGAAUAUUGCACAAUGGGCGGGAGCCUGAUGCAGCAACGCCGCGUGCGGGAUGACGGCCUUCGGGUUGUAAACCGCCUUCGCCUGUGACGAAGCGUGAGUGACGGUAAUGGGUAAAGAAGCACCGGCUAACUACGUG